GUGGGGAAUAUUGGACAAUGGGGGGAACCCUGAUCCAGCCAUGCCGCGUGUGUGAAGAAGGCCUUUUGGUUGUAACGCACUUUAAGCGAGGAGGAGGCUACCGAGAUUAAUACUCUUGGAUAGUGGACGUUACUCGCAGAAUAAGCACCGGCUAACUCUGUGCCAGCAGCCGCGGUAAUACAGAGGGUGCAAGCGUUAAUCGGAUUUACUGGGCGUAAAGCGCGCGUAGGUGGCCAAUUAAGUCAAAUGUGAAAUCCCCGAGCUUAACUUGGGAAUUGCAUUCGAUACUGGUUGGCUAGAGUAUGGGAGAGGAUGGUAGAAUUCCAGGUGUAGCGGUGAAAUGCGUAGAGAUCUGGAGGAAUACCGAUGGCGAAGGCAGCCAUCUGGCCUAAUACUGACACUGAGGUGCGAAAGCAUGGGGAGCAAACAGGAUUAGAAACCCGUGUAGUCC
rnacentral:rRNA from 1 species